AUUCAUCUUCGGGGUAGGGUGUAAUUCCCAACCGGCAGUAAAAUAAGCCUGCGACCUGCAAAUGAUGUUCAGCAUCUUUGUGGCUGAUCUAGUGAGAUUCUAGAGCCGACAGUUAAAGUCUGGAUGGGAGAAGAUGGAG
rnacentral:ncRNA from 1 species